AUGGUUAAGUUAGAAAGGGCGCACGGUGGAUGCCUUGGCACUAGGAGCCGAUGAAGGACGGGACGAACACCGAUAUGCUUCGGGGAGCUGUAAGCAAGCUUUGAUCCGGAGAUUUCCGAAUGGGGAAACCCACUGCUCGUAAUGGAGUAGUAUCCAUACUUGAAUACAUAGAGUAUGAGAAGGCAUACCCGGGGAACUGAAACAUCUAAGUACCCGGAGGAAGAGAAAGCAAAUGCGAUUCCCUGAGUAGCGGCGAGCGAAACGGGAACAGCCCAAACCAAGAGGCUUGCCUCUUGGGGUUGUAGGACACUCUAUACGGAGUUACAAAGGAACCUGAGUACGGCGGAACACGUGAAAUUCCGUCGGAAUCCGGGAGGACCAUCUCCCAAGGCUAAAUACUCCCUAGUGACCGAUAGUGAACCAGUACCGUGAGGGAAAGGUGAAAAGCACCCCGGAAGGGGAGUGAAAUAGAUCCUGAAACCGUGUGCCUACAAGUAGUCAGAGCCCGUUAACGGGUGAUGGCGUGCCUUUUGUAGAAUGAACCGGCGAGUUACGAUCCCGUGCAAGGUUAAGCAGAAGAUGCGGAGCCGCAGCGAAAGCGAGUCUGAAUAGGGCGCAUGAGUACGUGGUCGUAGACCCGAAACCAGGUGAUCUACCCAUGUCCAGGGUGAAGUUCAGGUAACACUGAAUGGAGGCCCGAACCCACGCACGUUGAAAAGUGCGGGGAUGAGGUGUGGGUAGGGGUGAAAUGCCAAUCGAACCUGGAGAUAGCUGGUUCUCUCCGAAAUAGCUUUAGGGCUAGCCUCAAGGUAAGAGUCUCGGAGGUAGAGCACUGAUUGGACUAGGGGCCCCUACCGGGUUACCGAAUUCAGUCAAACUCCGAAUGCCGAUGACUUAUCCUUGGGAGUCAGACUGCGAGUGAUAAGAUCCGUAGUCGAAAGGGAAACAGCCCAGACCGCCAGCUAAGGUCCCAAAGUAUACGUUAAGUGGAAAAGGAUGUGGAGUUGCUUAGACAACCAGGAUGUUGGCUUAGAAGCAGCCACCAUUUAAAGAGUGCGUAAUAGCUCACUGGUCGAGUGACUCUGCGCCGAAAAUGUACCGGGGCUAAACGUAUCACCGAAGCUGCGGACUGUUCUUACGAACAGUGGUAGGAGAGCGUUCUAAGGGCUGUGAAGCCAGACCGGAAGGACUGGUGGAGCGCUUAGAAGUGAGAAUGCCGGUAUGAGUAGCGAAAGACGGGUGAGAAUCCCGUCCACCGAAUGCCUAAGGUUUCCUGAGGAAGGCUCGUCCGCUCAGGGUUAGUCGGGACCUAAGCCGAGGCCGAAAGGCGUAGGCGAUGGACAACAGGUUGAUAUUCCUGUACCACCUCCUCACCAUUUGAGCAAUGGGGGGACGCAGGAGGAUAGGGUAAGCGCGGUAUUGGAUAUCCGCGUCCAAGCAGUUAGGCUGGGAAAUAGGCAAAUCCGUUUCCCAAGAAAAGCCUCUAGCGAGGUGAGAGGUGCCCGUACCGCAAACCGACACAGGUAGGCGAGGAGAGAAUCCUAAGGUGAUCGAGAGAACUCUCGUUAAGGAACUCGGCAAAAUGACCCCGUAACUUCGGGAGAAGGGGUGCUUCUUAGGGUGUUAAAGCCCCGAGAAGCCGCAGUGAAUAGGCCCAGGCGACUGUUUAGCAAAAACACAGGUCUCUGCGAAGCCGUAAGGCGAAGUAUAGGGGCUGACGCCUGCCCGGUGCUGGAAGGUUAAGAGGAGCGCUUAGCGUAAGCGAAGGUGCGAAUUGAAGCCCCAGUAAACGGCGGCCGUAACUAUAACGGUCCUAAGGUAGCGAAAUUCCUUGUCGGGUAAGUUCCGACCCGCACGAAAGGCGCAACGAUCUGGGCACUGUCUCAACGAGAGACUCGGUGAAAUUAUAGUACCUGUGAAGAUGCAGGUUACCCGCGACAGGACGGAAAGACCCCGUGGAGCUUUACUGCAGCCUGAUAUUGAAUGUUGGUACAGCUUGUACAGGAUAGGUAGGAGCCUUGGAAACCGGAGCGCUAGCUUCGGUGGAGGCAUCGGUGGGAUACUACCCUGGCUGUAUUGACCUUCUAACCCGCUGCCCUUAUCGGGCAGGGAGACAGUGUCAGGUGGGCAGUUUGACUGGGGCGGUCGCCUCCUAAAAUGUAACGGAGGCGCCCAAAGGUUCCCUCAGAAUGGUUGGAAAUCAUUCGCAGAGUGUAAAGGCACAAGGGAGCUUGACUGCGAGACCUACAAGUCGAGCAGGGACGAAAGUCGGGCUUAGUGAUCCGGUGGUUCCGCAUGGAAGGGCCAUCGCUCAACGGAUAAAAGCUACCCCGGGGAUAACAGGCUUAUCUCCCCCAAGAGUCCACAUCGACGGGGAGGUUUGGCACCUCGAUGUCGGCUCAUCGCAUCCUGGGGCUGUAGUCGGUCCCAAGGGUUGGGCUGUUCGCCCAUUAAAGCGGUACGCGAGCUGGGUUCAGAACGUCGUGAGACAGUUCGGUCCCUAUCCGUCGCGGGCGCAGGAAAUUUGAGAGGAGCUGUCCUUAGUACGAGAGGACCGGGAUGGACGCACCGCUGGUGUACCAGUUGUUCUGCCAAGGGCAUCGCUGGGUAGCUAUGUGCGGACGGGAUAAGUGCUGAAAGCAUCUAAGCAUGAAGCCCCCCUCAAGAUGAGAUUUCCCAUUCCGCAAGGAAGUAAGAUCCCUGAAAGAUGAUCAGGUUGAUAGGUCUGAGGUGGAAGCGUGGUGACACGUGGAGCUGACAGAUACUAAUAGAUCGAGGACUUAACCUAUA
rnacentral:rRNA from 1 species